UGUCUAUUAAUUGUAGACCUGUAUGAAAGGCAAAAUGAGGGUUUAACUGUCUCUUAUAAUAAAUCAAUUAAACUGAUCUCCCAGUAAAAAAGCUGGCAUACUCACAUAAGACCAGAAGACCCUGUGAAGCUUAAACUAAACUACUAAACCCUAUAGUAAUUACUUUCGGUUGGGGCGACCUUGGAAAUAAAAAGAACUUCCAAAUACAAUGAUUAUAACUCAUACACACCCGGCCAACAAGCCUAUAAAUUAGACCCAGCAUAGCUGAUAACUGAACCAAGUUACUCCAGGGAUAACAGCGCUAUCUUCUUCAAGAGCCCAUAUCAAAAAGAAGGUUUACGACCUCGAUGUUGGAUCAGGACAUCCUAAUGGUGCA
rnacentral:rRNA from 1 species